ACGAACGCUGGCGGCGUGCUUAACACAUGCAAGUCGAACGGUGAAGCGCCUUCCUUUUUGGUGGGUGUGGAUGAGUGGCGAACGGGUGAGUAACACGUGAGUAACCUGCCCCCUUCUUCUGGAUAACCGCAUGAAAGUGUGGCUAAUACGGGAUAUUCUGGGUCUGUCGCAUGAUGGGUCUGGGAAAGAUAUUGUUUCGGUGGGGGAUGGGCUCGCGGCCUAUCAGCUUGUUGGUGGGGUGAUGGCCUACCAAGGCGGUGACGGGUAGCCGGCCUGAGAGGGUGGACGGUCACACUGGGACUGAGACACGGCCCAGACUCCUACGGGAGGCAGCAGUGGGGAAUAUUGCACAAUGGGCGCAAGCCUGAUGCAGCGACGCCGCGCGAGGGAUGGAGGCCUUCGGGUUGUGAACCUCUUUCGCCAGUGAAGCAGGCCUGCCUCGUUUGUGGGUGGGUUGACGGUAGCUGGAUAAGAAGCGCCGGCUAACUACGUG
rnacentral:rRNA from 1 species